AAUUAGUUUAUUUAGACAUUUAUUUUAACGUUUUACUGCUAGUGGUGUACGGAUGGCUUGAUUUUAUUCAGAUUGGAACGGAUUGGGAAAUUCGUUAUACCAACGUGCCAUCCCUCGCUGCACAUUUAGUUCGUUCCCAACUACAAUAUCAUUAUAUCUAUACCGAUAACUUGUAUUUCCUAUUUUAUUAUUAUUAUUAUUAUUAAUUUCUAUAUUGUUACUGGUAACCAUGCCUAAGACAAAACCCAAGAGAUCCAGCCGGAUAGCUAGAACUCUGCCCCAGCCGGAACCUCAUGUCACACGCGGUCACCGCCGGCGGCAAGAUCAAUCCGCGGUGACCACACCUGAGCCACGGAAAAAGGCAGUCUGCUCCACUGACUUCAGCAGCGGGCAACGACACCCGACGUCGCGGACAGCAGGACCAACGCACGGAGUCCACGACAGCAAGUCGAGGCUCCCAGGCAUCCUCACAGGCCCCACAGUUGGACAACUCGGACUCGGAAAUCACAGAACAGAAUCCGGGUUUUGUGACUCAUACUUUCUGUUCACAAUGCUUGUCCAUUUCUUCUGUGCAUAAUUGUCAUUCAAACUUAGUUCCAGUUUAUGAUUGCAACAGACACAACGAGAAUUUGCAAGUGGAAAUACACAUAU